rnacentral:rRNA from 1 species
AUUGAACGCUGGCGGCAUGCUUUACACAUGCAAGUCGAACGGUAACAGGCCUUCGGGCGCUGACGAGUGGCGAACGGGUGAGUAAUGCAUCGGAACGUGCCCAGUCGUGGGGGAUAACUAUCCGAAAGGAUAGCUAAUACCGCAUACAAUCUGCGGAUGAAAGCGGGGGACCUUCGGGCCUCGACCGAUUGGAACGGCCGAUGUCAGAUUAGGUAGUUGGUGGGGUAAAGGCUCACCAAGCCAACGAUCUGUAGCUGGUCUGAGAGGACGACCAGCCACACUGGGACUGAGACACGGCCCAGACUCCUACGGGAGGCAGCAGUGGGGAAUUUUGGACAAUGGGCGCAAGCCUGAUCCAGCAAUGCCGCGUGCAGGAAGAAGGCCUUCGGGUUGUAAACUGCUUUUGUACGGAACGAAACGGCUCUGGUUAAUACCCGGGGCUAAUGACGGUACCGUAAGAAUAAGCACCGGCUAACUACGUGCCAGCCGCCGCCGUAAUAC